GACGAACGCUGGCGGCGUGCCUAAUACAUGCAAGUUGAGCGAUGAAGAUUGGUGCUUGCACCAAUUUGAAGAGCAGCGAACGGGUGAGUAACGCGUGGGGAAUCUGCCUUUGAGCGGGGGACAACAUUUGGAAACGAAUGCUAAUACCGCAUAACAACUUUAAACAUAAGUUUUAAGUUUGAAAGAUGCAAUUGCAUCACUCAAAGAUGAUCCCGCGUUGUAUUAGCUAGUUGGUGAGGUAAAGGCUCACCAAGGCGAUGAUACAUAGCCGACCUGAGAGGGGGAGCGGCCACAGUGGGACUGAGACACGGCCCAAACUCCUACGGGAGGCAGCAGUAGGGAAUCUUCGGCAAUGGACGAAAGUCUGACCGAGCAACGCCGCGGGAGUGAAGAAGGUUUUCGGAUCGUAAAACUCGGUUGGUAGAGAAGAACGUUGGUGAGAGUGGAAAGCUCAUCAAGUGACGGUAACUACCCAGAAAGGGACGGCUAACUACGUG
rnacentral:rRNA from 1 species